CUCCUCCGAUCCUCCUCCGUUCCUCUUCCUGGGCUGAAUGCGCACGCGCGGCAAGAGCUGGGCGCGCAUUCAGCCCGUCGCAUAGGAAAGCAUUUACAAUCACAGUGAGAAGCACGCAAGCGCCUCUAGUGGCUGUCAAUGAGACAGCCACUAGAGGAUUAGGGGGAAGGCUUAACCCAUUCAUAAACAUAGCAGUUUCUCUGAAACUGCUAUGUUUAUAAAAAAUGGGUUAACCCUAGAAGGACCUGGCACCCAGACCACUUCAUUAAGCUGAAGUGGUCUGGGUGCCUAGAG